rnacentral:rRNA from 1 species
AGUGAACGCUGGCGGCGUGCCUAAUACAUGCAAGUCGAACGGAGAUUAAGUAGCUUGCUAUUUAAUCUUAGUGGCGCACGGGUGAGUAAUAUAUAGCUAACUUGCCCAUUACUAAGGGACAACAGUUGGAAACGACUGCUAAUACCUUAUACUCCGUAUCUAUAUAAGUAGAUACGGGAAAGUUUUUCGGUAAUGGAUAGGGCUAUAUCGUAUCAGCUAGUUGGUAAGGUAAUGGCUUACCAAGGCUAUGACGCGUAACUGGUCUGAGAGGAUGAUCAGUCACACUGGAACUGAGACACGGUCCAGACUCCUACGGGAGGCAGCAGUAGGGAAUAUUGCUCAAUGGGGGAAACCCUGAAGCAGCAACGCCGCGUGGAGGAUGACACUUUUCGGAGCGUAAACUCCUUUUCUUGGGAAAGAAUUAUGACGGUACCCAAGGAAUAAGC